ensembl:lncRNA
ACCUCUGAGCUUGUCGAGGUUUUAGGUGUGGCUGUGGUGUCAGAACGUUUGGUUCUGGUUGGGGUCGAGGUUAAGGUCUGUGAAUCAGUAGGGGUUAAGGUCGCUGUGUUGAGGGUUUUGGUUGAGGCUGAGGUAGCAGGUGAGAUAUUAGACCCUGUAGUCAAUGAUGUUUCAGUUGUUAUGGACUGAGAGGGUUUAGAAGUGGUUUCUAUUGAAGAUGUUCUGGACUGAGGGGGUUUAGAUGUGGAGGCUGUAGAAGGUGUUCUGAACUGAGGGGGUUUCGAUGUGGAGGCAGUAGAAGGUGUUUUGGACUGAGGGGGUUUAGAUGUGGAGACCGUAGGUGUUCUGAACUGAGGGGGUUUAGAUGUGGAGGCUGUAGGUGUUCUGAACUGAGGGGGUUUAGAUGUGGAGGCUGUAGGUGUUCUGGACUGAGGGGGUUUAGAUGUGGAGGCUGUAGAAGGUGUUCUGGACUUAUUCUCCCUUCUCCUUUGAGUUUUACCCUGGUAUUUUCUCUCCAGGUGAGGGGUCCAUUCUUCCUCCACUGUGUCACUAGGUCCUUGUGGGGGCGAUCUACUCUCUCUCUCCUUCCCCUCCCGGCCAUGCAUCAUAAAUACAGGGACCAGCGGCUACAGAACUGGGGUGUAUUCAGAGGUGGCACAAUCUGAACGUUCCACAUAGAAAUAUAACGAAUAGAGAGGUCCCGAUUUCCGAACGUUCCACAUAUAAAUAUAACGAAUAGAGAGGUCCUGAUUCCCUGAUCAACCAAACAGACAAUUAUAUCUGUUCUACACAACACAUUUCUAUCUGAGGCUAAUGUCCUGAAACAGGCCACUGAGGAACAACAGAGAGCAUUAUCCUUCAUCAAUGCCUCAGAGAUAUAUAGUACCUAUGGCCAAGUGGUUCCUCUUCAUGUUUCUGUAGCGCUUUUUCUCCCAUUCCGCCAAACUGGUCCAUUUGCUCUGGGAAAAAUACACAUUCAUCUCCUCACAGUCAUCCUAAGAGUUAGCACAAUACAGGUGUGCACACAGACACAAAUAGCAUCGGCCUAGUUGACUUUUAAUAAGCACCAAAACAUCUGAGACGUAAUAUAUGUUAGAAAACACAUUUGACGUUGGUGCUACAUGCUAAAAUUAGGCCUACUGUUGUCCAUGUUGAACCUCACGUCAUCACUAGAACUCAUCUCUCUGCUGGUGUAGCACGUGUUCGCCUUUCGGUCCUCCGCCAGUGUUGCCAACUUAGCGACGUUGUCGCUAUAUUUAGCGAGUAUUCAGACCCCUCUAGCGCACAUUUUCAAAAAAGAGACUAGAGACUUUCUGGUGUUAUUCGAGACUCUGACGUGAAGCACGUAUCGUUCUUACUCUUCUCAAUGAGCAGCGUGUUGCUAAAUAAAUUUCAGGGUAAGUAGCUAGAAGCAGGUUGACGACUUGCUAAAAGUUGCUAAAUGACGUUGUCACGUCAUUGCGUGAUAACGUAAAACUGCGUCAUUACGUUGGCUACACAAUAACGUUACUCAAAUUGACUGGCCAUCUCUGCAAAAAAAUAUGAUUUGACAUUUGUUAAGGUACAGACUCCCACUCUUUUCUGUACAUGUUUCAUUGAAGCAUGUUGAUCGAUGUUGUAAGUUCUGUUCAAGAUCAAACAUUCGUGACCAACUAUAUUCAUUGGGUUUGGCUCGUUGAACCCGUACUACUGCUGCUGCAGUCAGCCAACAAUUUGUCAUUUGCUGAAAUUGCUGUUGGCUGUGCACGAGCCGAGCGCCUGCUGCCGAAGUCCCUCACAAUGCACUUUUGCAGCCAGGCACGUGUGUUGUGAGUGUGUGACAGAGAAAAUCGUUUUUGUUUCAUUUAGAGGGAAAAUGCGUGCAUUUUAGCGUUUGAGUCACUUUUCAAAAGUUGCUAAAAGUUCCAAAUUAUUAUUAUUAUUUUUUGUUGCUAAGGUGCUGUUUGAAAAAAAAGUUGCCAGGGUAGUCUGAAAAGUUGCUAAAUCGAGCAAUAAAAUUGCUAAAUUGGUAUCACUGGUCCCACCCCGUCCCAAAGCACUCACAAGUGGCCCAGUCCUCGCGCAGCAGUCCCGCCCAGCUGCAGUCAGAGCAGGAGAUGUUCACCCCUCCCGCGUCCAGACUGCAAAUGAAUCGCGCAUGCGGGCAGCCGCCGCUGUCUGAUCCCGCCCUGGUUUACAUUUGUUUUAAAACACUUAUUAACUUGAAUUAGGGCCAGACUAGUUACCAUCAUUUUCUCACAUUGCCAUUGACAGUUUUUUCUAUUGUCUCUUUUUGGUCCAUUUAGAUUGUUAAUGUAGAUUGUAUACAAAUGGCUAAAAAUGUUCAUAUUUUACUGUGACUUGUGUGUUGACUGAGUGUGUGACAUGGCUACCCAUGUAAGAGAUGCAAACUCGGUCUCAACCUUUAAGUCUUUACUGAAGACUCAUCUCUUCAGUGGGUCAUAUGAUUGAGUGUAGUCUGCCCCAGGAGUGGGAAGGUGGACGGAAAGGCUCUGGAGCAACGGUUCCACUCUUUCCACUGGGAUUCUCUGCCUCUAACCCUAUUACAGGGGCUGAGUCACUGGCUUACUGGGGCUCUUUCAUACUGCCCCUAGGAGGGGUGCGUCACUUGAGUGGGUUGAGUCACUGAUGUGAUCUUCCUGUCUGGGUUGGCCCUGUCCGGGGGUGUCAAACAUUCGUCCUCGGAUGGGGCCACAGUGUCUCCUGACCCCUCCUGUCUCAGCCUCCAGUAUUUAUGCUGCAGUAGUUUAUGUGUUGGGGGCUAGGAUCAGUUUGUUAUAUCUGGAGUACUUCUCCUGUCCUAUUCGGUGUCCUGUGUGAAUUUAAGUGUCCUCUCUCUAAUUCUCUCUUUCUCUCUCUUUCUCUCUCUCGGAGGACCUGAGCCCUAGGACCGUGCCUCAGGACUACCUGACAUGUUGACUCCUUGCUGUCCUCAGUCCACCUGGCCGUGCUGCUGCUCCAGUUUCAACUGUUCUGCCUUGUUAUUAUUUGACCAUGUUGGUCAUUUAUGAACAUUUGAACAUCUUGACCAUGUUCUGUUAUAAUCUCCAUCUGGCACAGCCAGAAGAGAACUGGCCACCCCACAUAGCCUGGUUCCUCUCUAGGUUUCUUCCUAGGUUUUGGCCUUUCUAGGGAGUUUUUCCUAGCCACCGUGCUUCUACACCUGCAUUGCUUGCUGUUUGGCGUUUUAGGCUGGUUUCUGUACAGCACUUUGAGAAUUCAGCUGAUGUAUGAAGGGCUCUAUAAAUACAUUUCAUUGUAGCUGGGGAUUUUACAAGGCUAAUCUGGAAACAAGACUCCCUAAAUUUUA